rnacentral:rRNA from 1 species
ACAGUCACUGACAUUAGACUACCCCCGUAGUCCCAGCCGUAAACUAUGCGCGUUAGGUGUACUGGUGACCACGAGUCGACCGGGGUGCCGAAGGGAAACCGUGAAACGUGCCGCCUGGGAAGUACGGUCGCAAGGCUAGAAAACUUAAAGGAAUUGGCGGGGGAGCACCACAACGGGUGGAGCCUGCGGUUUAAUUGGACUCAACGCCGGAAAUCUCACCGGAUAGGACAGACAUAUGAUAGUCGGGCUGAAGACUCUACUUGAUGAUCUG